CCCGCAUUCACCCGUACUGUACAGGCAUGGGGGAGGACCGAGCUUAGAAAGCGAGUAAACGCUGGUAGAGAGUUUCCCCUCCGCACACCGUGGCCAUGACUUUGGCAGUCCCGGGCGGCGGCAGCAGCGGCUCUCCCGUCUCCACGCACCUGAUAGCGGACUGAAAGGGGGAAGCUAACACCGGGGGAGAGGCAUUAGCAGACCGAGACGAUUUUCCAGACGGGUGUCAGAACAGUUCAUCUAUUUCAAGGAAGAGGCUCUGCCAUGUGAUGUUUUUGCCAAUAAAGAAGACUGGUCUCCAUCUUCAAAGCACCAGGUGGAGCCCCUGAAGAAACCUCCCUGUUGGUAUUCCGAGGCAGAGCCAAGCAUCGGCUCCUAUUUUCAGAUGGACCCUGGCAAACCACCAGCAUUGUUUUUCAGACAACAGAAGAUAGAAAAAUAUAUUUAAGAUUGAUACAGCACAGUUUUACCUCCCGCCAUCUUGCUCCGAUCCAGUCAUAGAGAGAAACACACUUCUGCUUUCUACCUCCUAGAGAAAUAGAAAAGGAAGAAAAAAAGAAAAAGGAAAAAAAAUAGCAAUUUAUUAUCCGUUAUCAGUUUCUUCUUUUUCUUCUCUACGUGCAGCAUUUUUUCCAUUUUACCUCAGGGAUUUUCUCCCACUGCCUACCUCCUCCACCGAAACAGCCAACCCAGUGACUGGAACACGGAGCAAAAAAAAAAAAACAAAAAAACAACACACAUCCGUGACAUCUCACUGUUGUUACCGUGACAACCUGUAUUGCCUCUCAAGCUCUCCUUACUGCAACCGUGACGACCAGCAAUGACCUUGGACCUCAUGCCACCUGCCAGCUCUAUCCUGCUCCCUGCCUAAAUUGUGCUGACCCGCGCUAGCCCGGCGACUCGGAGGCUAGUUAUUACCGGACGGACGAGGGCAGCUCCACUCUAACAAUAGCCUAACCCCCCUAUCUGUACAGUAUACCUGGCAGGCAACUAUAUACCUCAGCAACCACAGCUUCUACAUAGACGCUCUGUCCAGGAACACAGAAGGGAAACAGCAACAGCAUUCACUAUUCUGGUGCUUUAAUCUGCCCAGCAGGUAACACGUGCUCAGUAGUCUGGUGCUUCAAUCUACCCAGUAGACAACUCACUCCGGCAUCUUCCAUUUCGCCUCAGAGGCAAGAAUAUAGCAACAGUAGCCAGGGAGGCCUCCAGAGAAGCAAGGCGAGAGACUCGGGAGUACCGCCUGGCAGGAAACUUCACUUCAUUCUCUCAGCAGGAAAGUCGCAUCAUCACACACACGAGCCUCACGAUCCGAGCGGUAGCAUAAAUCAGCGAUUGCCCACGGGGCCCCGCAGAAGUUUCCCCCCCGUCUUGCCUUGAGUUUACUCUUCACCUCGCGAAGCCCCCCCAGAGUGGUGAAAAGCUAUCCAAGGAGCAAGGAGAAGUUCUCGGGAGCCUUGGCGGCUUUUCCUCCACUCCGCUGGCAAGACGCGGAGGAUAAAAAGAACUUUCUGGCAGAUUUCAGGCAGAGCAUUAUAGACGCUGGAACAGAGUAAACACUGACAACAUCCAUAUUGUGCGGCGGCGGCGAAGAGCGAAGGGAGCAGAACCAGUGAAGAAGAAUGCAAUGGUGAGUUCCUGUCGGUCCAUCAGCAUACACCGGUGAUCUAACAGAAUUAA